GGGUUGUGAGGUUAAGCGACUAAGCGUACACGGUGGAUGCCCUGGCAGUCAGAGGCGAUGAAGGACGUGCUAAUCUGCGAUAAGCGUCGGUAAGGUGAUAUGAACCGUUAUAACCGGCGAUUUCCGAAUGGGGAAACCCAGUGUGAUUCGUCACACUAUCAUUAACUGAAUCCAUAGGUUAAUGAGGCGAACCGGGGGAACUGAAACAUCUAAGUACCCCGAGGAAAAGAAAUCAACCGAGAUUCCCCCAGUAGCGGCGAGCGAACGGGGAGCAGCCCAGAGCCUGAAUCAGUGUGUGUGUUAGUGGAAGCGUCUGGAAAGGCGCGCGAUACAGGGUGACAGCCCCGUACACAAAAAUGCACAUGCUGUGAGCUCGAUGAGUAGGGCGGGACACGUGGUAUCCUGUCUGAAUAUGGGGGGACCAUCCUCCAAGGCUAAAUACUCCUGACUGACCGAUAGUGAACCAGUACCGUGAGGGAAAGGCGAAAAGAACCCCGGCGAGGGGAGUGAAAAAGAACCUGAAACCGUGUACGUACAAGCAGUGGGAGCACAGAGCAAUCUGUGUGACUGCGUACCUUUUGUAUAAUGGGUCAGCGACUUAUAUUCUGUAGCAAGGUUAACCGAAUAGGGGAGCCGAAGGGAAACCGAGUCUUAACUGGGCGUUAAGUUGCAGGGUAUAGACCCGAAACCCGGUGAUCUAGCCAUGGGCAGGUUGAAGGUUGGGUAACACUAACUGGAGGACCGAACCGACUAAUGUUGAAAAAUUAGCGGAUGACUUGUGGCUGGGGGUGAAAGGCCAAUCAAACCGGGAGAUAGCUGGUUCUCCCCGAAAGCUAUUUAGGUAGCGCCUCGUGAAUUCAUCUCCGGGGGUAGAGCACUGUUUCGGCAAGGGGGUCAUCCCGACUUACCAACCCGAUGCAAACUGCGAAUACCGGAGAAUGUUAUCACGGGAGACACACGGCGGGUGCUAACGUCCGUCGUGAAGAGGGAAACAACCCAGACCGCCAGCUAAGGUCCCAAAGUCAUGGUUAAGUGGGAAACGAUGUGGGAAGGCCCAGACAGCCAGGAUGUUGGCUUAGAAGCAGCCAUCAUUUAAAGAAAGCGUAAUAGCUCACUGGUCGAGUCGGCCUGCGCGGAAGAUGUAACGGGGCUAAACCAUGCACCGAAGCUGCGGCAGCGACGCUUAUGCGUUGUUGGGUAGGGGAGCGUUCUGUAAGCCUGUGAAGGUGUACUGUGAGGUAUGCUGGAGGUAUCAGAAGUGCGAAUGCUGACAUAAGUAACGAUAAAGCGGGUGAAAAGCCCGCUCGCCGGAAGACCAAGGGUUCCUGUCCAACGUUAAUCGGGGCAGGGUGAGUCGACCCCUAAGGCGAGGCCGAAAGGCGUAGUCGAUGGGAAACAGGUUAAUAUUCCUGUACUUGGUGUUACUGCGAAGGGGGGACGGAGAAGGCUAUGUUGGCCGGGCGACGGUUGUCCCGGUUUAAGCGUGUAGGCUGGUUUUCCAGGCAAAUCCGGAAAAUCAAGGCUGAGGCGUGAUGACGAGGCACUACGGUGCUGAAGCAACAAAUGCCCUGCUUCCAGGAAAAGCCUCUAAGCAUCAGGUAACAUCAAAUCGUACCCCAAACCGACACAGGUGGUCAGGUAGAGAAUACCAAGGCGCUUGAGAGAACUCGGGUGAAGGAACUAGGCAAAAUGGUGCCGUAACUUCGGGAGAAGGCACGCUGAUAUGUAGGUGAAGCGACUUGCUCGUGGAGCUGAAAUCAGUCGAAGAUACCAGCUGGCUGCAACUGUUUAUUAAAAACACAGCACUGUGCAAACACGAAAGUGGACGUAUACGGUGUGACGCCUGCCCGGUGCCGGAAGGUUAAUUGAUGGGGUCAGCGCAAGCGAAGCUCUUGAUCGAAGCCCCGGUAAACGGCGGCCGUAACUAUAACGGUCCUAAGGUAGCGAAAUUCCUUGUCGGGUAAGUUCCGACCUGCACGAAUGGCGUAAUGAUGGCCAGGCUGUCUCCACCCGAGACUCAGUGAAAUUGAACUCGCUGUGAAGAUGCAGUGUACCCGCGGCAAGACGGAAAGACCCCGUGAACCUUUACUAUAGCUUGACACUGAACAUUGAGCCUUGAUGUGUAGGAUAGGUGGGAGGCUUUGAAGUGUGGACGCCAGUCUGCAUGGAGCCGGCCUUGAAAUACCACCCUUUAAUGUUUGAUGUUCUAACGUUGACCCGUAAUCCGGGUUGCGGACAGUGUCUGGUGGGUAGUUUGACUGGGGCGGUCUCCUCCUAAAGAGUAACGGAGGAGCACGAAGGUUGGCUAAUCCUGGUCGGACAUCAGGAGGUUAGUGCAAUGGCAUAAGCCAGCUUGACUGCGAGCGUGACGGCGCGAGCAGGUGCGAAAGCAGGUCAUAGUGAUCCGGUGGUUCUGAAUGGAAGGGCCAUCGCUCAACGGAUAAAAGGUACUCCGGGGAUAACAGGCUGAUACCGCCCAAGAGUUCAUAUCGACGGCGGUGUUUGGCACCUCGAUGUCGGCUCAUCACAUCCUGGGGCUGAAGUAGGUCCCAAGGGUAUGGCUGUUCGCCAUUUAAAGUGGUACGCGAGCUGGGUUUAGAACGUCGUGAGACAGUUCGGUCCCUAUCUGCCGUGGGCGCUGGAGAACUGAGGGGGGCUGCUCCUAGUACGAGAGGACCGGAGUGGACGCAUCACUGGUGUUCGGGUUGUCAUGCCAAUGGCACUGCCCGGUAGCUAAAUGCGGAAGAGAUAAGUGCUGAAAGCAUCUAAGCACGAAACUUGCCCCGAGAUGAGUUCUCCCUGACUCCUUGAGAGUCCUGAAGGAACGUUGAAGACGACGACGUUGAUAGGCCGGGUGUGUAAGCGCAGCGAUGCGUUGAGCUAACCGGUACUAAUGAACCGUGAGGCUUAACCUUACAACGCCGAAGCUGUU
rnacentral:rRNA from 1 species